rnacentral:rRNA from 1 species
UACGGAGGGUGCAAGCGUUAUCCGGAUUCACUGGGUUUAAAGGGUGCGUAGGUGGGCAGGUAAGUCAGUGGUGAAAUCCCCGGGCUUAACUCGGAAACUGCCAUUGAUACUAUCUUUCUUGAAUACCGUGGAGGUCAGCGGAAUAUGUCAUGUAGCGGUGAAAUGCUUAGAUAUGACAUAGAACACCAAUUGCGAAGGCAGCUGGCUACACGAAUAUUGACACUGAUGCACGAAAGCGUGGGGAUCAAACAGG